AGAGUUUGAUCAUGGCUCAGAACGAACGCUGGCGGCGUGGAUAAGACAUGCAAGUCGAACGCUGAUACUCGGGUAGCAAUAUUCGAGUGUUGGAGUGGCGCAAGGGUGUGUAACACGUGGGCAAUCUGCCAUAAAGCCUGGGAUAACUCGCUGAAAGGCGAGCUAAUACCGGAUGUGAAAGUGAUUUCAAAGCUGGGGAUCGUAAGACCUGGCACUUUAUGAUGAGCCCGCGGCCUAUCAGCUAGUUGGUGAGGUAACGGCUCACCAAGGCUAAGACGGGUAGCUGGUCUGAGAGGACGACCAGCCACACUGGAACUGAGACACGGUCCAGACACCUACGGGUGGCAGCAGUCGAGAAUUUUUCUCAAUGGGGGAAACCCUGAAGGAGCGACGCCGCGUGGGGGAUGAAUGGCUUCGGCCCGUAAACCCCUGUCAUUUGUGAACAAGUUGAUUCACCUAACACGUGUAUCAUUGAUUGUAGCGAAAGAGGAAGGGACGGCUAACUCUGUGCCAGCAGCCGCGGUAAUACAGAGGUCCCAAGCGUUGUUCGGAUUCACUGGGCGUAAAGGGUGCGUAGGCGGUUGGGUAAGUCUGACGUGAAAUCUCCGGGCCUAACCCGGAAACUGCGUUGGAUACUAUCCAACUAGAGGAAUGGAGGGGAGACUGGAAUACUUGGUGUAGCAGUGAAAUGCGUAGAUAUCAAGUGGAACACCAGUGGCGAAGGCGAGUCUCUGGACAUUUCCUGACGCUGAGGCACGAAAGCCAGGGGAGCAAACGGGAUUAGAUACCCCCGUAGUCC
rnacentral:rRNA from 1 species